rnacentral:tRNA from 1 species
AAAACAUAGCUUAACAAAAAGCAUUCAGCUUACACCUGAAAGAUGUCUAUUAAACAAGACUAUUUUGA